UUCUCACUCACCCAGCAUGAGAUGCUGGGGGAGGAUCAGAACAGUAAAAGUGGCUUGAGAAAACCCUGGGGCUGAGAUAAAGACAGUUUAACAGGUGUUAGAGUGUUUAUUGAGAAGAAGGCACAACUGACACUUCUAGGAACUGAAAUGGACUAUGUAGAAGACAAACUGUCCAGUGAAUUUGUCUUCAAUAAUCCAAACAUCAAAGGAACAUGUGGGUGUGGAGAAAGCUUUAACAUCUGAAAUGUUAAAGGACUAAAUGUUAAAUGUUAAAGGGUGUGGAGAAAGCUUUAACAUCUGAAAUGUAAAAGGACUGUUAUUUUGAACCCCCCAAAACACUAUGAUGGGUUUUGGAAACAAAUGCAUUUUCUUCAGGUCCAUAGCCUGCUUAAACUGGGGAUAUCAUUAAGAAAAAUAAAGCUAGAAAUAAUUUUGAAAGUGAAAAUUAUGUGUUCAAUACUACCACUAGUGCAGUUACGCUGUAAUUUGUGAAGAGUUGAAGUCGAAAAGGUAAGAACAGUAAAGUGCUCUAGUAACAUCUCUGUACUUUCACAUGGUAAGGAAAUAAAAUCUCGCUGUACUUUUA